rnacentral:rRNA from 1 species
UACGUAGGGGGCAAGCGUUGUCCGGAUUUAUUGGGCGUAAAGAGCGUGUAGGCGGCCAGGUAGGUCCGUUGUGAAAACUCGAGGCUCAACCUCGAGACGUCGGCGGAAACCCUCUGGCUAGAGUCCGGAAGAGGAGAGUGGAAAUUCCUGGUGUAGCGGUGAAAUGCGCAGAUAUCAGGAGGAACACCGAUGGCGAAGGCAGGUCUCUGGGCAUUAACUGACGCUGAGGAGCGAAAGCAUGGGGAGCGAACAGG